UACGUAGGGUGCAAGCGUUGUCCGGAAUUAUUGGGCGUAAAGAGCUCGUAGGCGGUUUGUUGCGUCGGCUGUGAAAUCCCGAGGCUCAACCUCGGGUCUGCAGUCGAUACGAGCAAACUAGAGUGUUGCAGGGGAGACUGGAAUUCCUGGUGUAGCGGUGAAAUGCGCAGAUAUCAGGAGGAACACCAAUAGCGAAGGCAGCUCGCUGGGACGUUACUGACGCUGAGACGCGAAAGCGUGGGGAGCGAACAGG
rnacentral:rRNA from 1 species